CUGUACUUGACUUGUGCUAAACAAUAGCUGAGAUUAGUUCUUUGGGAGCAAUGCCAUUGAAUGCAUCUGAGGUCACCCCCAAUUGUCUUGUGUGCAACACAAUGUCCCCCUUCAGAUGCUCCGCAAAGUGUCCGUGACAACAACACAAUUAACCCCCUUGUCCCAACCAAUGGCAGAUGACACGGUUGUCGGCGUGGCAGCCUUUGUUCAGUAUGGGCUUCCAGGUCCUGUCCGUCCCUUGGUCUGAUCCCUGUAAGGAACCAGCCGGCAUCAGAGUAUGACCAAUACGACCCCCCCCCCCCCUCUCUCUAUACACGGUGGUCUGAUCUAUUUGGGACAGCUGUAGCCACUGAUUCAGUUUGGUUGAUGACCUCAAGAUUUCACUGCACAUCCCACUGAGAGCUAAGCGCAAGAGGCUAUGCUGUGCCUGCUGAGUGUAAGCUAAGAGAGAGUCCAGGCACAGACUAGGGCUGACUGCCUCUUGUUCCAUGGGAAACACUAGCAUCACAGAGGGCAAGACUGCCCUGGCAGUGGGCAAAACUUCCAUAGCCAGGGGCAAGACCACGGUCGCGAUGGGCAACACCUCCGUCUCCAGAGGAGUAACCACCACCUCCAUGGGGGACUCCACCAUCAGUAGGGAGAAGACCACAGUAGCUCUUGGCGGAGCUAGUUUCACCAGGGGAACCACCACCACCUCCUUCCGGAAGGCUCUGAUGCCAAAGCGCAGGACCACCUAGAAUAAAUGGACAGGAGCUCAGACGCCACGUCCACGACUCCCAAAGCAACCAGGACAUCAAAAAAAGACUUGACUGAAGAGGAGGAGUGGAAAGUCACCUUCCUGUCCAGAAAGACUAGCUUCACUAAGGGCAGGAUCUUGAUUCUGAAGACUAAGUACGCCAUCUCCUGGGGCAAGUCCUCUGUCUCGUGGAGCAGAACCACCGCUACCCUGGGAAAGAUCACUGUGACCAUGGGAAAGACCUCCGUGACACGAGACCAGACCACCAGCUCUCUGACCACUCUCACCUUCACCCAUGGAGAGAAGUCUGUGUCUGUGGUCAAAUCCAGCCUCACUAGGGGCAGACAAACUACACGGAACAUCUACUGGGAUUUCCACCUGUGAUUCUUGCAUACGGUUUCACUCAAAACAGAGGACUUUUAUCUGCUCAGUUUCAGCAGGUCAGUAGUAGCUUAAAUCCUGUCCAUUUGUAAUCAAUUAUUCCAUGUGUCUGAUCAAUGUGCAGCAUUCUGCAGCUCCAGUGUCAAUGAAGCAUUCAUGUUUUUGAAGAAAAACAUUGAGCAUGUCUUUCAAAAUGAAUCCCACGUGAUGAGGAUGUGUUACGGAUCUAACAGGCUUGAAAUCAGAUAUUCCGAUGCGUGACGGAGGAGAUGAGGUUGGUGGUGGGUUGGCAGGGAGGGAGACAGGAGGACACAGCUGUGUGUGGUGUAUGUGGAGACACUGGACAGAGCAUGUGUCAUCAUCAGUGUGCUGUUCAACAGAGAACCUCAACGGUAAUUCUCUGAGGCAAAAAUACAGUUUAAAUGUCCCCAUUUGUUAUAAAACAACAAUUGCAUGCUGAUUAAAUUGGUCUGUUUCAAGGUUGAACGCAUUACAAUAACUAUGCUAUGUUCAGUUUACAAGGACGGUCUUAAACUGGGAAAUGUGUCUGUCAUAACUGAUUGAUUGAUGUAACCUGAUGCUUAUAAAAUAACUGCUUCAACACGGUUUGACUUGAUUUUGUUUGUUUGCAAAUUUGACUUAUUAUAUAACAUACAAGUAGUAGGAAACAAAUGAUAUGUACUGUCCUGAAGUGGAAUAAUGAAUUAUUUUCAUACUAAAGGACAAGGACCAUAGACAAAUGGAAUAGAAGAUUAUCUGAUCCUCUCUAAAUGGAAUAAACUAUUUUAUGGACACAGACACUUGGAAAACUCCUAAGAGCCACACCCAUAUUGGAGACUGAAGCCACAUUGCACAUUUGAGACGAGAGGUCAUAGGUCAUUGAUGGAAAACAUGAACUUACGUCAACAUCCUUGCCUAUAUAAUAAUGUCUCACAUGAUAUGUUUCAUGAUGCACAUGUUCUAUACAGCUUCACACAGAACUAAGGACUUACAAUCAGGGGAUAUAGGCAACAAUGCCGCAGGAUCAAGUGAUGUCACCACAUAUUGUCCUCUGGGCAACAAUGUCUCCUUCAGCCGCGUCGUGGUGGUGAUGGGACAAUCGUUCCACUGUACCAAGCCCUCAGAUAGGCUACAGCCACCUACGGCUGCCUCUGUCCAAUCACAGGGACACAUGGGUGGUAUGUGGCCUUCCAGAGCCCACGUCUAUAAGCUCAACGAAGGCAUUAUUUGACACGGGGGUAGCACUAUCCACGCUUAGCAUUCUGGUCUACUCUGGACUCUCGUUACUGUUACUAUCACACCCAAGCUUUACUGAGCGGGGUGUGCUGCAUGAGCGUGCAAUGUGUCGCGCCGAGUGAACCCCAAAAUCCACCACCUCAGCAGGGUCAGGAAUUCAACCUUCUUCUCAAUGGGCAACACCAGCAUCACCGAGGGGAAGACGGCCCUCUCCCUGGGAAACACCACUAUCAAGAGGGGCAAGACCAAGCUCACUGUGGGCAACUCGUCUAUCACCAGGGGCAAGAAAACCACUUCUCUGGGCGCCUCCACCAUCGCCAGUGCCAAGACCAAGCUCACUAUGGGCAAUGCCUCCUUCAGCAGGGGCACCACCACCACCUCGUUUCGAAAAGCCUUUUUCGCCAAACGCAAGACCCUCUAGAUGAGAGGGGACAUCAUUGGGUGGAUGGACUGGUGGCUAACUCAACAAAACGUAAAGACAACAUACAACAACAACAUCACAGGGGACAUAAGGACAUCACUGCAACAUCUACACAGGCUGUAUCUAAACUGACUUCUAAAACACUGGAUUAUUUUGCUUUGGACCAUUUUACUGUUUUGAUCAAACAGGAUUUUAUCAAGGAAACAGGUUCAACGUGUUGGCACCAACAGUGUUCAUCCAGUCAUGGACCUCGUCAUGAGAGCUCUUAGGAGAGAAUGUGCAACAAAGUAAUAUAUCAACUGGCCUGUAACAAGAUUCCCUAGUGAUAGCUGUUUCUCCUUGUUUGGCCUCUUUUCAAUAAGGUAAAAUAGCAGCUAUUGGUACAGUCUGUUUCUCUCAGAUGAACCAAGUACAGAUGACACUCUGGUCCCGCCAUGUUUUAAAAACAUAUGUAGCACAUAGCAACAGCUAUACUGUUAUGUAAGACUUUUAUUUUAUUCUUGACAUUUUAUUCUCAUUCUGGCCAUGGUAAAUACUUUUAAAUGAAAGCCAGCUUAAGGCAUGUGCGGUAUCUCCUUCAAAAGUUAUUUUUUUCUCAGGACUUGAAAAGUUGAUGGUGCCAAGUUCCAACUGAGAUUUCUUCAGUAAUUUUCAAACACACAUCAAAUUAGUCCAUGAAUACAUGAGACUUUUCCACUUGGAGACUACCAGCUGGACCAUACUGUAUAUCUAUGACCUCUGCUGACUUAACUAUUGACCUAAGACCUUUGACCCAGGGAAGCAACAAUAGUUCCCUGUGAUGUUGAGAGUAUUUCCAGAUUUCCGUCACUGUACUGUCUAUUGCUGUGCAUGGAAAUCUCUGUCAUCAAAAUAAGUUGAGUCGAUGAAACAUGAUGUAAUGGGGAGCUCACUUUGACACAUUAGAUCACUGCAUUUUAGAAGUCACUAUAUCUUGGCUUUGGUGUCGAAAACAGGGCCAUCACAGAGUAGGUCUACUAGUAUUACUGAACCCUACUAUAUCAGUAUAGCACUACAACAACCAUGUUAAUGACUUGGAGGAAGAGCUUUGAAUGAGAGUGCGAUGCCACUUUGGCAAAAUCCAUUAUGAUCCCUGAUGACAAAUUGACAUGGGGAUGAAGCACUGGGUCCAGCAUUUCACCAAGGGUCAAUGACACAGUAAACAGAUUCAUGGGGAUGAAGCACUGGGUCCAGCAUUUCACCAAGGGUCAAUGACACAGUAAACAGAUUCAUGGGGAUGAGGCACUGGGUCCAGCAUUUCACCAAGGGUCAAUGACACAGUAAACAGAUUCAUGGGGAUGAAGCACUGGGUCCAGCAUUUCACCAAGGGUCAAUGACACAGUAAACAGAUUCAUGGGGAUGAAGCACUGGGUCCAGCAUUUCACCAAGGGUCAAUGACACAGUAAACAGAUUCAUGGGGAUGAAGCACUGGGUCCAGCAUUUCACCAAGGGUCAAUGACACAGUAAACAGAUUCAUGGGGAUGAAGCACUGGGUCCAGCAUUUCACCAAGGGUCAAUGACACAGUAAACAGAUUCAAAUUCAGUCAUCAAGAACAACUCUGUAUGAUAAUAGAACAUUCACAAAUAGGCCUCAAGACAAGGAUUUACUUCCAAAAAAUGAAAAAUAGGAAAUCCAAACAUGUUCAUCUGUGUGUGUCGAUGUCUGGUAAAUGUGUGUGUUGUGAUAGUGGAGGAAAUGUUUUGUAUUCAAAUAGAAAAUAUAUACACGUACACUCGUGUUAGAAGAAGGAUCAUGCUUGGACUGGUGUGCUAACUGAACACUAAUUUGGGCUUCGUUGGGAGGGAUGGCUAAUGAUCUGAAGAUAACUGUGUCCAUAUCAGUCAAACCUUUUUCAUGACUCUCUCCAUUACUCUUGGCAUUAGUCUGGAGCACAGAUCCACCCUCUAUUCUUUGCCCCAAGGCUGCCCUGCUGGUAGCUCUGCCUACACAAUGAGACACACACAACAUCAGCCUGACUCUAUGCACAGCCAGAGGUUCUGAGGUCACAAACAUUCACAACCUUUGUCAACUUGAACACCACCUGGGACAAGGGCUGUCAUUGGCUGACACAUGGAAGUGUUAUACACGUCUGUCUGGCAGGAAAAGAGGCCUCUAUGACUUACAGCCCAUCUUAGACUGCACAAUACAAAAGGUAGACUUGACAUCGACACAGAUGCUUUCAGAUAUUCAAAGCCUGGGGAAUAUAUGUACUACCCUUGCAUUAAACUUAAUUCAUAGCUCUCAUUGAAAAGUAAUUCAUGUCUUUCCCAGUGGAGACAACUGUAUGAUUAGCAUUACUGAUGAAAAACUGUUGUGAACAUUUUUUGUUUUGUUUUGUGUCCUGUGCCUGUGUCUUUAAAUGUAUUGGAUUAAAUGUCCUUGGCACGGUCAGUGUCUGAAAAAUGACCGAACUGCAACAAAUGUCUCUUUGUUCUCUCGCUAAUCCUUCCUGGAGUCUGAAGUCUGUGUCUUUGAAAACAUUAUUUUUGGUCAUGAUCCAUGUCUGUUCUAUGUGUUCUAUUACACUAUGUUCCACUAAAUGCAGACAGAACCCUUGACAGAGAGGUGCUGUAAUAAAAAAAGUGCUUGAUCGUG